CGUGAGAAUCUGCCCUCAGGAGGGGGAUAACGGCUGGAAACGGCCGCUAAUACCCCAUAUGCCGAGAGGUGAAAUGAAUUUCGCCUGAGGAUGAGCUCGCGUCUGAUUAGCUAGUUGGUGGGGUAAGAGCCUACCAAGGCGUCGAUCAGUAGCUGGUCUGAGAGGAUGAUCAGCCACACUGGGACUGAGACACGGCCCAGACUCCUACGGGAGGCAGCAGUGGGGAAUUUUCCGCAAUGGGCGAAAGCCUGACGGAGCAACGCCGCGUGAGGGAUGAAGGCCUCUGGGCUGUAAACCUCUUUUUUCAAGGAAGAAGAUCUGACGGUACUUGAAGAAUAAGCCACGGCUAAUUCCGUGCCAGCAGCCGCGGUAAUACGGGAGUGGCAAGCGUUAUCCGGAAUUAUUGGGCGUAAAGCGUCCGCAGGCGGCCUUGUAAGUCUGUUGUUAAAGCGUGGAGCUUAACUCCAUUUAAGCAAUGGAAACUGCAAGGCUUGAGUGUGGUAGGGGCA
rnacentral:rRNA from 1 species